UUUUGUGCGAACAAUAUAAUAACCAGAUUCCAUUUUGCCCCUCUCUUGUGACAUGCCACCUGCCUUUUCUGGUUCUGGUGACCAGAUCUGUGAUCUGUGACCACGAUAACCUGCCUGGAACCCUAAACGCCCAGAAUGUGGAAAUCUCCCAGACCUUGACUUGAAGAGGAGCAAACUGGACUUUCUCUGCAUCAAUGCCUGUUCUAAACUGUCCGAAGUUUUUAUCAGUGGGAUCAAGAUGACGUGUAACUUCCAGGUAGAGCAAAACCUUUGAGACGAAAUAACCUACAUUGAAGCAGGUGAGUGAAACCCAACUCCAGUCACCUGAAGACGUAAAGAGAAGCCUUUGAUUCCAUAACUGGGAGAGGCACAGAGAAGAGUAAAUCAAGUUGUUUAUUUCUAAUUAGGCUAAAAAGUAAGGUGAAACUUUUUCAAGAUAUCCAAAACCUUGUUUCAGUAAAUUCAGCAAAUUUUCAAGAUCCAUAUAUUCAUUUUAGACUCCUUUGGAAUUCAAGACUGUUCUAACUUAUACUUGAAAAUUUAUUUCAGUCUUAGAAUUGAGAAGUUAAUUGUGGAUAUUGAAAUGGUUAUUGUUAAUUGCAUUUUCUCCGUA